CUGCCGCUGAUUGGCUUGCUCAUCCAGGUACAUGGCCUAAAGCUGCGAGCCAGUGUGUUUUCGGACUUUCCGAAACUAGAGCGUACUGGUUAGCCGGCCGUGGUUUUGACACUUCUAGCAGCUUACGGCCACACCCCCCUGAGAGCUUCUGAUCUUGGAAGCUAAGCAUGGCUGGGGCUGGUUAGUACUUGGAUGGGAGACCGCCUGGGAGUGGCCAAUGACCCCUGCAAGUCCUUAUCCGAGUUCCUGAUCAUGCCACCAGAGGAUUUUUUGGCCAAUUUUUAAAACAGAUUUCUUGCUGAUAUUUUGCUCAUUUGUGAUGUUAUAUUGUGAACUUCUACCUUUUAUUUGGCAUAACAUUUGAUUGUAUUUUUUUAAAUGUGUUGAUCUGUAAUAUUAUUUAACCUUUUCGUAUUCUUGUAUUUUAGACACUUGUGUGCAUGUUAAAAUGAUGAUUUUUAUGAUUACAAAUCAAGCCUUGGCCACAACGAUAUGUUUUUAUAUCAGCUCAUCUCAUACAAAUGAAAUCAUUUUGUCAGUUUUAAACUUGUCAGUGUGUUCAAGGUGAACGCAGUUUCCUGAAGCCCAGACCAGAAAGCAGCAUGUGCAGUGCAGGUUGGUGGUCCAACGGAACAGUCUGGUAGAAGUGUUCUCAGACAGCUCGUGCCAGGCUUCGCUGGAGGGCUGUGGGUGCAUCCCAAAGGGCUGCCCCCCAGGCUCCAGGUGGAGGUUCCCAAACACGUGGAGGUGAAACCCCGGCCUUCACCUGCCAGGUGUGCCAGGAGGGAGCGGGUGCCUGCUCAGGACCAUGUGGGGGUGACACCAAGGUCACCUACCAAGGACGUGGGGAUGGACAAGCCCAUGGACCAGAUGAGGGGACGGGGCUUAAUAUUGUCUUUUAGAGUGAUAUUCAAUUUUUUUUUUUUUUUUUAAGUUUAACGUGUUAUUUUAUUUAUUCCUACUUAACUUUUUGUUGUGUUCUCCUUUAUUAAGAGACACGAUUCUUGUGCAAGUAUGAUCAAAACCUAAAUUUCUAUUAAACAGCAUUUAUGAAUUUCAGUUUACAUGUUUAAGUGUAGUUAUUGUUUACAUGAUGAUGUGAGAAAUGAAAUGCAUGCUUUUUAUUUAUUCAUCACUGUCUUUUUUUUCUCUUUUUCUAAAGGACCAGCAGCAGCAUGGGCGGCCUGCUCUCCCAGGUAAGAAGAUCAGCAAAGGUAAGAGCUGUUCUCCUUCCUGCAUUUGCUGCAUAGACUGUAUAUAAAAUAACUGGACUGAGCAAGUGUAGGAAAAAGAGCUGCUCCAUUUCUCAAAUUCAGUGUCCAGCCACGUGUCCAGAUAAAUGGUUUAACAAGGGUUUCCAGGAAAGAUAAGACAGAAAUAGAUGUGUUGGAAUGUCUGGUGUUGACCAAGGUUCCUCUGGUACAAUUGCCAAAGAAGGACUGUGGUCCCAUUGAAGGCGGUGUGUGUGCUGUGCUUUGGGUCACGUACACUCAGGUAUAAAGAUUGCAGAGAGCAGAGAUCGGGGGCUUCGUCAACUAAAUCUGAAUGGUUACGCUGGAAUACUCUCUGACUUUAUUCAUGAAUAAACAGAACCUCUGAGCACGUGCAGCGUCCGGUCUUUCAUUUUACUUUGACUCAAUUUUUCCUCAACACAAGCCCCCCUAUUUCCGUGUUCCAUAUAGGAAGUACCACUGGGUUGCAAAAAGGCCAAAGUCCCAUUGACUUCCAUUGAGAAAUAGACAG